rnacentral:rRNA from 1 species
GAGUUUGAUCAUGGCUCAGGAUGAACGCUAGCGGCAGGCUUAACACAUGCAAGUCGAGGGGUAUAGUUCUUCGGAACUAGAGACCGGCGCACGGGUGCGUAACGCGUAUGCAAUCUACCUUUUACAGAGGGAUAGCCCGAGAGAAAUUUGGAUUAAUACCUCAUAGUAUAAUGACUCGGCAUCGAGAUAUUAUUAAAGUCACAACGGUAAAAGAUGAGCAUGCGUCCCAUUAGCUAGUUGGUAAGGUAACGGACUUACCAAGGCUACGAUGGGUAGGGUCCUGAGAGGGAGAUCCCCCACACUGGUACUGAGACACGGGACCAGACUCCUACGGGA